rnacentral:rRNA from 1 species
AACCUCCGCAAUGCGCGCAAGCGCGACGGGGCUACCCCGAGUGCCAUCUUUAUGAUGGCUUUUGCCUAGUGUAAAAAGCUAGGCGAAUAAAGGGGGGGCAAGACGGGUGUCAGCCGCCGCGGUAAUACCCGCUCCCUGAGUGGUGGGGGCUUUUAUUGGGCUUAAAGCGUCCGUAGCGGGCCUAGUAAGUUUCCCGUUAAAUCCAGUGGCCUAACCACUGGGCUGCGGGAAAUACUGCUAGGCUUGGGGGUGGAAGAAGCCACCGGUACUCUUAGGGUAGGGGUAAAAUCCUCUGAUCCUAAGAGGACCACCAGUGGCGAAGGCGGGUGGCUAGGACACGCCCGACCGUGAGGGACGAAAGCUGGGGGAGCAAACGGGAUUAGAUACCCCGGUAGUCCCAGCUGUAAACGAUGCAGACUAGGUGUAAGGAGUGGCUACGGGCCACUCCUGUGCCGAAGGGAAACCAUUAAGUCUGCCGCCUGGGGAGUACGGCCGCAAGGCUGAAACUUAAAGGAAUUGGCGGGGGAGCACCACAAGGGGUGGAUGUUGCGGCUUAAUUGGAGUCAACGCCGGAAACCUUACCAGGGGAGACAGCAGGAUGAAGGCCAGGUUAAAGGCCUUGCCAGACAAGCUGAGAGGAGGUGCAUGGCCGUCGCCAGUGCGUGCCGUGAGGCGUCCUGUUAAUUCAGGCAACGGACGAGACCCCUGCCCCUAGUUGCUAUCAGAUACGAAAGUAUCUGAGCACUCUAGGGGGACUGCCGCCGAAAGGCGGAGGAAGGAGGGGGCCACGGCAGGUCAGUAUGCCCCGAAUCCCCUGGGCCGCACGCGACAUUCAAUGGUAGGGACAGUGGGUUCCGACCCCGAAAGGGGAAGGCAAUCCCUAAACCCUACCUAGGUUGGGAUCGAGGGUUGCAACUCGCCCUCGUGAACGUGGAAUCCCUAGUAACCGCGCGUUAACAUCGCGCGGUGAAUACGUCCCCGCUCCUUGCACACACUGCCCGUCGCUGCAUCCGAGCUAUGUCUAGAUGAGGCAUGGUCUUGUUGGCUAUGUCGAAUCUAGACAUGGUGAGGAGGCAG